CCUAAAACAUCUUUAUAUUACUUAUGAAGAAAAUAAAGUAGUAAGGUAUAUCUAUGCAAGCACAGUGCACUAGCACAUAAUUCUUACUUCUUUUGCUUCCUUUGACUUGACUCGGUCCAGAUCACCCAAUCUCAUCUUUAUUAGGUGCCCUGUAAUUUCGGACAUCCGCCGCUGAUCUGGAGGGUGAAGACAUUUGCUUUUUUGGUUGUUUUGUGAACUUCUUUGGCUUUUCCUUUUUCUCUGACAAAAAAAAGUCAAUGUUAUGAGCAUAAGUCUCACAUACUUCUCCAAUGCACUUGUUACUUACUUCAAUAAAACCAUUAAAAAAUUGUUUCUUAAAGCUAACAAAUUAUCUCUAAAUAAAAUAUAAAUUUAUGGAGAAGUCAAA